CGUGUGCCGCGUUAAUCUCGCGAGAAAAAAUUUAAUCCCGUUAAAAUUCAUUUAAAUUAAUGCCAAUAAAAACGCGCUAAACUGACAGCUCUAAUAUAUAUAUAUAUAUAUAUAUAGGCCCCGUAUAUAUUUGACUUACUGUAUUGGCAUCCUAAUGGAAGAGUUUUAAAUUGUGUUGUGAAAUGUUCAAACCAGAUUGUGACCCAUAAAGAAAAAAAAACAAAAAAAAAAAACGAAUGACUAUGCUUUCACACAUCACUAUUUCCCUUUGAAGUGCAAUUUGUUUAACAUCAA